rnacentral:rRNA from 1 species
GUCUUUUUGAUAAUAAUUUAAAGUCUAAUCUGCCCACUGAUAAAAUAUUAAAGGGCUGCAGUAAUUUGACUGUACAAAGGUAGCAUAAUCAAUAGUCUUUUAAUUGAUGACUUGUAUGAAAGAUUUGAUGAAAUAUAAACUGUCUCUUAAAAAUUUUUAUAAUUUAAUUUUUUAGUUAAAAAGCUAAAAUAUUUUUAAAAGACGAGAAGACCCUAUAGAGUUUUAUAAUUUUUAUAUUUAAAAUUUUUUAUUAAUAUUAAAAUUAUAAAAAUAAAAAUUAUUUUAUUGGGGUGAUAGAAAAAUUUAAAAAACUUUUUUUAAAAAUUUUACAUUAAUAUAUGAUUAAAUGAUCCGUAAUUUACGAUUAAAAGAAAAAAUUACCUUAGGGAUAACAGCGUAAUUUUUUUUUUUAGUUCAAAUAAGAAAAAGAGUUUGCGACCUCGAUGUUGGAUUAAGAUAAAAUUUAAAUGCAAAAGUUUAAAAGUUUUGAUCUGUUCGAUCAUUAAAAUCUUACA